GUGCCAGCAGCCGCGGUAAGACGUAGGGGGCGAGCGUUGUCCGGAUUCAUUGGGCGUAAAGCGCGCGUAGGCGGCUGCGCAAGUCGGUUGUGAAAUUCCGGGGCUCAACCCCGGAACUGCGUCCGAUACUGCGUGGCUAGAGGUAGGUAGGGGAGAUCGGAAUUCCUGGUGUAGCGGUGAAAUGCGCAGAUAUCAGGAGGAACACCGGUGGCGAAGGCGGAUCUCUGGGCCUUACCUGACGCUCAGGCGCGAAAGCUAGGGGAGCGAACAGGAUUAGAUACCCUGGUAGUCC
rnacentral:rRNA from 1 species